rnacentral:rRNA from 1 species
UACAGAGGUGGCGAGCGUUGUUCGGAUUUACUGGGCGUAAAGGGUGCGUAGGUGGUUCUGUGUGUCGGAUGUGAAAUCCCAUGGCUUAACCAUGGAACUGCAUCGGAAACUACAGAACUUGAGUGCAGGAGGGGAGAGCGGAAUUCUCAGUGUAGCGGUGAAAUGCGUUGAUAUUGAGAAGAACACCGGUGGCGAAGGCGGCUCUCUGGAAUGCAACUGACACUGAGGCACGAAAGCUGGGGGAGCAAACAGGAUUAGAUACCCUGGUAGUCCCAGCCGUAAACGGUGUGCACUUGGUGUGGGGGGGAUUGACCCUCUCCGUGCCGGAGCUAACGCGUUAAGUGCACCGCCUGGGGAGUACGGCCGCAAGGCUAAAACUCAAAGAAAUUGACGGGGGCCCGCACAAGCGGAGGAGCAUGUGGCUCAAUUCGAUGCAACGCGAAGAACCUUACCAGGGCUUGACAUGCAGCUGCAGGCCUCGUGAAAACGAGGCCGCUUUCGAGGGUGCUGCACAGGUGCUGCAUGGCUGUCGUCAGUUCGUGCCGUGAGGUGUUGGGUUAAGUCCCGCAACGAACGCAACCCCUGUGACUAGUUGCUACCUUUGGUGAUAAAUCAGAGGGCACUCUAGCCAGACUGCCUGUGUUAAGCAGGAGGAAGGUGGGGAUGACGUCAAGUCAGUAUGGCCUUUAUGCCCUGGGCUGCACACGUGCUACAAUGGCCGGUACAGUGGGAAGCAAGACCGCGAGGUGGAGCAAAUCCCUUAAAACCGGCCCCAGUUCAGGUUGAAGGCUGCAACUCGCCUUCAUGAAGUCGGAUUCGCUAGUAACGGCGCAUCAGCUACGGCGCCGUGAAUACGUUCCCGGGCCU